rnacentral:rRNA from 1 species
UACGAAGGGUGCAAGCGUUAAUCGGAAUUACUGGGCGUAAAGGGUGCGUAGGCGGUUCGUUAAGUCUGUUGUGAAAUCCCCGGGCUCAACCUGGGAAUGGCAAUGGAUACUGGCGAGCUAGAGUGUGAUAGAGGAUGGUGGAAUUCCCGGUGUAGCGGUGAAAUGCGUAGAGAUCGGGAGGAACAUCAAUGGCGAAGGCAGCUCGCUGGGACGGUACUGACACUGAGACGCGAAAGCGUGGGGAGCAAACAGG